GCGGAUUAGCCUGUACGGGGCAAAAUGGAGCUCGAGGCCAUGAGCAGAUACACCAGCCCAGUGAACCUGGCUGUCCUCCCCCAUCUGACUGUGGUGCUUUUGGCCAUCGGCAUGUUCUUCACCGCCUGGUUCUUCAUUUACGAGGUCACCUCUACCAAGUACACUCGUGAUAUCUAAAAGAGCUCCUCAUCUCUUUGGUGGCCUCACUCUUCAUGGGCUUUGGAGUCCUCUUCCUGCUGCUCUGGGUUGGCAUCUACGUGUGAGCGCCCAAGGGUAACAACCAGAUGGCUUCACUGAACCCCUGCUUUUGUAAUUUACUUUUUUUUACUGUUGCUGGAAGUGUCCCACCUGCUGCUCAUAAUAAAGGCAGAUGUAUGG